rnacentral:rRNA from 1 species
UUUAUUUGAGAGUUUGAUCCUGGCUCAGGACGAACGCUGGCGGCGUGCCUAAUACAUGCAAGUUGAGCGCUGAAGGUUGGUACUUGUACCAACUGGAUGAGCAGCGAACGGGUGAGUAACGCGUGGGGAAUCUGCCUUUGAGCGGGGGACAACAUUUGGAAACGAAUGCUAAUACCGCAUAAAAACUUUAAACACAAGUUUUAAGUUUGAAAGAUGCAAUUGCAUCACUCAAAGAUGAUCCCGCGUUGUAUUAGCUAGUUGGUGAGGUAAAGGCUCACCAAGGCGAUGAUACAUAGCCGACCUGAGAGGGUGAUCGGCCACAUUGGGACUGAGACACGGCCCAAACUCCUACGGGAGGCAGCAGUAGGGAAUCUUCGGCAAUGGACGAAAGUCUGACCGAGCAACGCCGCGUGAGUGAAGAAGGUUUUCGGAUCGUAAAACUCUGUUGGUAGAGAAGAACGUUGGUGAGAGUGGAAAGCUCAUCAAGUGACGGUAACUACCCAGAAAGGGACGGCUAACUACGUGCCAGCAGCCGCGGUAAUACGUAGGUCCCGAGCGUUGUCCGGAUUUAUUGGGCGUAAAGCGAGCGCAGGUGGUUUAUUAAGUCUGGUGUAAAAGGCAGUGGCUCAACCAUUGUAUGCAUUGGAAACUGGUAGACUUGAGUGCAGGAGAGGAGAGUGGAAUUCCAUGUGUAGCGGUGAAAUGCGUAGAUAUAUGGAGGAACACCGGUGGCGAAAGCGGCUCUCUGGCCUGUAACUGACACUGAGGCUCGAAAGCGUGGGGAGCAAACAGGAUUAGAUACCCUGGUAGUCCACGCCGUAAACGAUGAGUGCUAGAUGUAGGGAGCUAUAAGUUCUCUGUAUCGCAGCUAACGCAAUAAGCACUCCGCCUGGGGAGUACGACCGCAAGGUUGAAACUCAAAGGAAUUGACGGGGGCCCGCACAAGCGGUGGAGCAUGUGGUUUAAUUUCGAAGCAACGCGAAGAACCUUACCAGGUCUUGACAUACUCGUGCUAUUCCUAGAGAUAGGAAGUUCCUUCGGGACACGGGAUACAGGUGGUGCAUGGUUGUCGUCAGCUCGUGUCGUGAGAUGUUGGGUUAAGUCCCGCAACGAGCGCAACCCCUAUUGUUAGUUGCCAUCAUUAAGUUGGGCACUCUAACGAGACUGCCGGUGAUAAACCGGAGGAAGGUGGGGAUGACGUCAAAUCAUCAUGCCCCUUAUGACCUGGGCUACACACGUGCUACAAUGGAUGGUACAACGAGUCGCGAGACAGUGAUGUUUAGCUAAUCUCUUAAAACCAUUCUCAGUUCGGAUUGUAGGCUGCAACUCGCCUACAUGAAGUCGGAAUCGCUAGUAAUCGCGGAUCAGCACGCCGCGGUGAAUACGUUCCCGGGCCUUGUACACACCGCCCGUCACACCACGGGAGUUGGGAGUACCCGAAGUAGGUUGCCUAACCGCAAGGAGGGCGCUUCCUAAGGUAAGACCGAUGACUGGGGUGAAGUCGUAACAAGGUAGCCGUAUCGGAAGGUGCGGCUGGAUCACCUCCUUU